UACGUAGGGGGCAAGCGUUGUCCGGAUUUAUUGGGCGUAAAGAGCGUGUAGGCGGCCAGGUAGGUCCGUUGUGAAAACUCGAGGCUUAACCUCGAGACGUCGAUGGAAACCAUCUGGCUAGAGUCCGGAAGAGGAGAGUGGAAUUCCUAGUGUAGCGGUGAAAUGCGCAGAUAUCAGGAGGAACACCAAUGGCGAAGGCAGCUCGCUGGGACGUGACUGACGCUGAGACGCGAAAGCGUGGGGAGCAAACAGG
rnacentral:rRNA from 1 species